rnacentral:rRNA from 1 species
CCAAUCAAACUCCGUGAUAGCUGGUUCUCCCCGAAAUGCAUUUAGGUGCAGCGUCCCGUGUUUCUUGCCGGAGGUAGAGCUACUGGAUGGCCGAUGGGCCCUACUAGGUUACUGACGUCAGCCAAACUCCGAAUGCCGGUAAGUGAGAGCGGGGCAGUGAGACUGCGGGCGAUAAGGUUCGUAGUCGAGAGGGAAACAGCCCAGAUCGCCGGCUAAGGCCCCUAAGCGUGUACUAAGUGGAAAAGGAUGUGGGAUCGCGAAGACAACCAGGAGGUUGGCUUAGAAGCAGCCACCCUUGAAAGAGUGCGUAAUAGCUCACUGGUCAAGUGGUCCUGCGCCGACAAUGUAGCGGGGCUCAAGUACACCGCCGAAGCCGCGGCACUCACACAAUACAUCGGCUUUUCCCUGCGGGGGAUUGUCUAGUGGUGUGGGUGGGUAGGGGAGCGUCCUGCAUCCGUGGAAGCAGCGGAGUGAUCCAGCUGUGGAGGGUGUGGGAGUGAGAAUGCAGGCAUGAGUAGCGAAAGCAGAGUGAGAAACUCUGCCGCCGAAUGACCAAGGGUUCCUGGGCCAGGUUAAUCCGCCCAGGGUGAGUCGGGACCUAAGGCGAGGCCGACAGGCGUAGUCGAUGGACAACGGGUUGAUAUUCCCGUACCCGUGUAUCCGCGCCCAGUGGCGAAUCAAUUGUACUAACCAUCCAAAUCCCUAUGGACCGCCUUCGGGUGGCCGGCGGGUGCUGCAUGGGACCUCGGUUGUAGUAGUCAAGCGAUGGGGUGACGCAGGAAGGUAGUGGAGCCAGUCGAUGGUAGUGCUGGUGUAAGCCCGUAGGGAGGGACAUAGGCAAAUCCGUGUCCCACAUAUCCUGAGAGGUGAUGCGUAGCCGUUGAGGCGAAAUCCAUGAUCCUAUGCUGCCGAGAAAAGCCUCUAGCGAGCUGGUACACGGCCCGUACCCCAAACCGACACAGGUGGUCAGGUAGAGAAUACUAAGGCGAUCGAGAGAACUGUGGUUAAGGAACUCGGCAAAAUGCCCCCGUAACUUCGGGAGAAGGGGGACCAGCCCUGGUGACGAAACUUGCUUUCCGAGCUGGGGGUGGUCGCAGAGACCAGAGAGAAGCGACUGUUUACUAAAAACACAGGUCCGUGCGAAGUCGUAAGACGAUGUAUACGGACUGACUCCUGCCCGGUGCUGGAAGGUUAAGAGGACCUGUCAGACCCUUCGGGGUUGAAGCGGAGAAUUUAAGCCCCAGUAAACGGCGGUGGUAACUAUAACCAUCCUAAGGUAGCGAAAUUCCUUGUCGGGUAAGUUCCGACCUGCACGAAUGGAGUAACGAUUUGGGCGCUGUCUCAACCAUGGACUCGGCGAAAUUGCACUACGAGUAAAGAUGCUCGUUACGCGCGGCAGGACGGAAAGACCCCGGGACCUUUACUAUAGUUUGGUAUUGGUGUUUGGUUCGGCUUGUGUAGGAUAGGUGGGAGACUGUGAAGCUUGGACGCCAGUUCAGGUGGAGUCAUCGUUGAAAUACCACUCUGGUCGUACUAGAUGUCUAACCUAGGACCCUGAUCGGGUUCAGGGACAGUGCCUGAUGGGUAGUUUAACUGGGGCGGUUGCCUCCUAAAAUGUAACGGAGGCGCUCAAAGGUUCCCUCAGCCUGGUUGGCAAUCAGGUGGCGAGUGUAAGUGCACAAGGGAGCUUGACUGUGAGACAGACAUGUCGAGCAGGGACGAAAGUCGGAACUAGUGAUCCGGCCACGGCAUGUGGAAGCGUGGUCGCUCAACGGAUAAAAGGUACCCCGGGGAUAACAGGCUGAUCUUCCCCAAGAG